GGGGGCAACAGUUCAGAGCCUGAAGGGUGUAGGAGCCAGGGACCAGUCAGAUGCUGACACGACAUGAAGAUGCCCAAAAUCCCAUUUGAAGUUGCCAUCUCCCUUAUUGUCACAUGAAGGACCAGAUACAACUCCCCAUGUCGCUAGAGGAGGAAUUAGGAUGGAUACUUACCUGGCCAUUUCUAUGUUGACCCUCUCAUAAUAACCCAGGCCCUUUGACUUCUGGAUUGCAGCAAUUUCAGUGUACUAUUCUUGGGCUAAACUUGAAGAUCUCUUGAAGCUACAAUUAGUGGAAAAGGUGAUAUUAGCCUGAACAAACACAGUGCUAUUUUUCUAGGAGAGCUACUGGCUUCCCAUUCACUUCUGGGUGCAGCUGAAGACACUGAUAUUGAUCUUUAAAGCCUUAUAUGGACUUUAAGUUACAGCUCUUUGAUAAAUCACCUCUUUCACCAUCAGUGGCAGUAGCUGUUGAUAUCAGUUAGGACAUCUAAGCAAAUAGGCCCUAGAUUUAAAUGUCUGGGGGCUGGAAGUUG